rnacentral:rRNA from 1 species
AUUGAACGCUGGUGGCAGGCCUAACACCUGCAAGUCGAACGAGUGGCGGACGGGUGAGUAAUGUCUGGGAAACUGCCCGAUGGAGGGGGAUACCUACUGGACACGGUAGCUCAUACCGCAUACCAUCGGAUGUGCCCAGAUGGGAUUAGCUAGUAGGUGGGGUAACGGCUCACCUAGGCGACGAUCCCUAGCUGGUCUAAGAGGAGGACCAGCCAAACUGGAACGUAUACACGGUCCAGACUCCUACGGGAGGCAGCAGUGGGGAAUAUUGCACAAUGGGCGCAAGCCUUAUGCAGCCAUGCCGCGUGUAUGAAGAAGGCCUUCGGGUUGUAAAGUACUUACAGCGAGGAGGCGUUACUCGCAGAAGAAGCACCGGCUAACUCCGUGCCAGCCACCGCGGUAAUAC